AGGUGUCAUUGACUCUCUACACUCCAUGAUUUUUUGAUCUAGAAAAAUGUAAUUCUAGAGUCUCAUUAUCCAUAAAUAAACUGGGCUGGAGAAAAUCACUUAUAAUGAACUAAUUUAUGAUGAAAAAUAAAAAUAAAGUAUUACCUUAUACUCUGGAAGCUUCAUUUCAAACAGGGGAGUUAAUUUUGAAAUUAAAAAAAAAAAGAUAAAGAGUUGAGUAGAAUAAUAAAGUAGAAAUACUCUGAAGAUAUUUUUCAAUCUAUUAAACUGUGAGUUGUUACUAAAUUAUCUGCAAAAGCUGGACUAUAAAAAUAUUUUUUUCAAGUAAGUAAAAUGGAUGUAAAAAUUUUAUCCGAUUAUUAACUCAUCAGUAUUCUGAAGUAUACUUUCCAAUGGUAGGAGACAAUUUUUUUAAGUUAAUAAAGCACAUAGAAGUUCCUGUUUUUAUUCUAAUGACUGUGUAUAGGUACUAACACAUCACAACAUUUGGAAACGAAUACAUAGGUAGACAUAAAUUCUGUAAACAGAUUUUUAACAUGUUUUUAUUAACUGAUCUUAAAAAGGUAAAUAAAUGAAGCAAUUGUUAUUUCUGAACACCUGUAGGCUUUUGCUUAACAAGGACAUAAUUCUAUGCAUGCCUUUAGGAUCCCAUUAAUAGUUACAUAGCUAAUAAACUAUUGUUUAUCCUCAUGCAAAUAUAAAGAAAAAUGCAGAGUUGUUCCUAUGAGAACAUUUCAGGGUAUUAUUAGAAGCAUUUUUUUCUUUCUUUCUUUUUUUUUUUUUUUUACACUUACAAAGUACUUUAAUAAUGUCAUAUUGUUUGGGAAUCCCAAAGUGCUUCUAAAGUAAGUUUUCUGCUUUUUCCUUUUAUAGAUUUUAUUCAAGAAUUAAAAAGUCACCAUUUUUCAAAUAUAUAUACAAGUAUGAAUGUGUAUAAUAUAUAUGUGUGUAUAUACAUCUUAUGUGCAUCAAUUUAAUAAUUUUAUAGUUCUUAUUAGAAUUUUAUUCUAUAAUCACUGCUUUGUUGUAGGUAUGUAGGAUAAAAAAAGUGAGAUGCUGACAACACCGAUAGCUAAUAUUUGUCCUUUUCAUGAAGUAUAUAAUAAAUUUGUAUGCAUUAUACUCAUAUCAUCCCUCACAUAAACUCUGUAAGGUGAGAAUACAAUUCUUCCCAUUUUACCGAUAAGGAUAUUGAGGCACAAAGAAAGAAAGAAAUUCUUCCAAGAAGAUAAUCAAGUGAAAGAACCAUCUAGAGUUUGGUUGUUUAAACACUGGAUUAACUCCCUACAGUGUUAGUUUGGCAACUAAUCAUCAUUUUCAUCUGUGAAAGUCACUGAUCCUCAGGUUCUGCAUAAGAAAAUUUAGACAGGAGUGAGGCAACUUUUAGGAUAUUCACAACACACAAAUAUUCUGUCAAGAUACAUAGUAGUUGUAAUGGUCAGGUCACUCAAGACUGCUGCUUUCCUCUAUUUUUACAUCCUCUGCUCAACCAGUCCCCAAUUCGCUUAUACCCUGCUCACAUGAAAGUGCUGUCCCCCACUCUUUAGACUAGAACAGCUCCCUCCUGCUGGUGUAUUAAAGGGAAACACUUGCCCUUGUGAUGCUCAUUAACCUGAGGGGCUAUAAGCAAUGUGUCCAGGGGCUGGUUCCACUGGUCUGAUGAGCCAGACAACCUGAUGUCAAUUCUCCCUCUAAAUAGUAGCUCCUUCCGCAUCCAGUGUAGACCGCUGCUUUGUCCUGCUCACUGUCUGCCACACAUGGUGGUAUGUAGCUCCAGGACCUGGCUUCAGAGGUAAGAUUCCCCCUAAAUCUAAACCAUGGAUGUCUCUUUCACUCUCUUUGAGCUCUUCAGUCCCAAGACUGGGAAACUAACUACAAGGCUUGCAGGCCUGCAGGGUGCAGCCCACAACUGUUGAGCCAGCCAGACGCCAAGGAAACUCCUGUGAGCACAGAGAUGGGAAAUAAGGAUGAGAAAGGAACACUGUGGGGUGCAGCGUUUAUAGGGAUGAGUGUUUGGCCAGGUCACUCAAGGUGGCUGUUCUCUUGCUCUUUUUACAUCCCCUGCUGGACGAGUCCUUGCUUUAUCUACACCCUGCUCUUUAGGACAAAAUGGCUCUGCCUCUAGUUUAUUAAUGGGAAACACCUGCCUUCAUGAUGCUUAUUAGCCUGAUGAGCUGGGAGCAAUGUGCCCAGGGACUGGUUACCCUGGUAGCUGAUGAGCUAGCCAACCUAAGGGCCAUUUCCCCUAUAAACAGUAGCUCCUCCCCCAUUCAGUGAAGACCACGACCUUGUCCUUUUUAUCGUCUGCCACACACUGGGUUGCAGCUCCAGGACCUUGCCUCAGAGGUAACAUCCCUCCCAAAUCUAAACCAUGAUGUCUCUGUCGCUCUCUCUGGGCUCUUCCGUCUCAAGGCUGGGAGACUAACUACAACACUUGCAGGCCUGCGAGGUGCAGCCCCGCAACUGUUGAGCCAGCCAAGAGGCCAAGGAAACUCCUGUGAGUGCUGAGAUGGGAAAUAAGGAUGAGAAAGGAACGUUGUGGGGUGCACAGUUUAUAAGGAUGAGUGUUUGGCCAGGUCACUCAAGGUGGCUGUUCUCUUGCUCUUUUUACAUCCCCUGCUGGACCAGUCCUUGCUUCAUCUACACCCUGCUCUUUAGGACAAAAUGGCUCUGCCUCUAGUUUAUUAAAAGGAAACACCUGCCCUCAUGACACUUAUUAACCUGAAGGGCUGUGAGCAACAUGCCCUCAUGACGCUUAUUAACCUGAGGGGCUGGGAGCAAUGUGCCCAGGGACUGGUUACCCUGGUAGCUGAUGAGCUAGCCAACCUGAGGGCCAUUCCCCCUAUAAAUAGUAGCCCCUCCCCUAUGCAGUAAAGACCGCUGCCUUGUUCUUUUCACUGUCUGCCAUCACAGUGGGUUGUAGCUCCAGGACUUUGCUUCAGAGACUCAUUUUCAGAUGGACUUUCCUGAUCACCUGCUCAAUAGAACAUACUCUCAUGAUACUUGAAAGAAAGGACCAAGUGAACCGAAGAGAAAUCAAGUUUUGAAAUCUGGCACAUGGCACCAAUAGCAGUAUGAUGGAUAGGAUCUUAAAGGGUCAAUGACUUUGUGUUCAUUUGGGGAACCAAGCUAGAGUCCCCUGCUCCAUGAAGGCUGUCAUGAUGUAGUGAGAAAGCUAAAGGCAGGAGAUUCCGCAUGCAGAUCCAAGGCAAGCACACGCAAGGGAAGAGCCAUCAUCCAGUUCAAUACAUGCAGGCACUCACUGGGUUCAAAACACUUCAAUUUGCCUUCCUCUACUCCUACUUUGUUUUUCUUCUAUUUAUUGUGCCCACUAUGAACAGAGUAAUCAUAAUAAUUUUGAAAGAGAAAAUAAAAUUGUAGGACAUGCAGCUUAACAUUAUAUUUAGCACUACUUAAUGUUUCUCAAGCAAAAUGUUUUAUUUACACAGCAAGCCACCUUGCCAUCCAUCUUCUGUCACUAUUCUCUUUGUUUACUAUUACUUUGGGUCCCCCUUUUAAAAAUGUCUAAUAAACCAGACACACAAUAAAGGAUAUUUAAUACAUUUUUAGAAUUUAAAAAUCAAUAAUGUUAUAUUAGAAUGAAUAUGUACUCACCACCCACAAUAAAAAAUAAAAUGUUCCUAGCACCUCAUAAAUCUUUGUUGUGCCUUAAAUGGUAGACUUUUGCAAGUUUUUGUGCUUUGCAUAAUAGAAUUACCAUCGCAUGUGUCCUGAAGCUUGUCUCUUCCCCUGAAAUAUUAUCUUUUGAAAUGAAUCUAUUACUGAUGCAUACACCUUUUAAGGACUUGAUGCUAUUGACUACUCCAUUUUAUAACUAGACUACACUUCAUUUACCUAUUCUCCAUUCAGAAGGAUUAUUAUUAUACAAGUUUUUGUUUGUUAGGAACAAAGUCCCAAAACAUUGUAUGGCAUAUUUCUCUUGGCGUGCAACUGGAAUAGGAUUUUACGGCAUCUUCUCAGGAACAGAAGUGCUAGGUCAUAAGUAUGGUGCAUAUUUAAAUUUACUAAUUUAUAUCAAUUUGUUUUCCUAAAUUGCGGUAACAUUUCCUCAAUUUCCAGGUAUUUCAGACUUCCUCCUUUUCCACCGUCUCCAUAACAUUUGAUAUUCAGGAGUUCCCAUCGUGUCUCAGCAGUAACAAACUCAACUAGCAUCCAUGAGGACACAGGUUUGAUCCCUGGCCUCGCUCAGUGGGUUAAAGG